AAAAGGAAUAAAGGCCUUGGGGGAAGGGUGGAGUGCUUAUCUUAUCAAGCCAUAAGACACUUUAUUAAGCUUUGCUCAUUAAUAUGUACUAUUGGCUCAGAAAUAGACAAAUAGAUCAACAGAACCGGAGUCUAGACAGGGAAUUGAGAGAAAAGAUGGUGUUGGAACAAUAAAUGGUGCUUAGCAAACUGGAUAUCUGCAAAAAGAGCAAAUUAGAGCUCUGUGUCACACCAUACAUGAAAACACAUCUCAGAUGGGUUAAAGAUUUAAACAUUUCAAACAACUAUAGACGUUUUAGAUGCAAACACACAAUGUAUAUACACUGCGGUGGGGACCUGCUUUCAUCAGCAGUGCGGCAGGACACUUAAGCAUCCAGUAGGGUUCCAGGCCGACCUCACCUCCCACCUUUGGAAAGGGCCUGCCGAGCAUCUCCAUCUGGACCUCACAGACUCCUCUUCCUCCUUCUCUCCAGCUCCACCUGGUCCUGGGAAGAGGGACUGCCACACCGGAUGGACUGAGGUCUGAAGCCAGCUCCUGCCACUUGUGCUCUGUGUCAAUAAGGCAUCUCCCUCUCUGGCUUCCAGUUCCUCCUCUAUGAGUAGGUAUGACUCCUCAGCUUGUCAAGACUUUGCAGAACCACGAAAUCUAUCCAGAAACACAGAAAAGAAGAAUUCAGAGAUAAAAGCAUAAAAGAAUCAGGUAAGAAAAUUACCCAGCAGAUAUGAUCGAUAAAAGUUUGGUUCUUUGAAAAUACCUCUAAAAUAGACAAAUCUUUGGCAAGUUUUGAAUGAAAAAAGGAAUAAAGUGACAAUGGGGAGACUUAAGUGAACAGGAGAAAACCAUACUCAAUUUUAUAGCAACAAAUUUAAAGCCUAGGUAGAACAGGUGAUCUUCUAUGAAAUUACCAAAGCCCUUCACGACUGUGACUCAAUAAAACCUCACGACAGCCCUGUGCCUUGGACAGGCAGUAUUCCUACCAUGCUUUCUAGAAGAAGGAGAUUCAGAGGUGAAUACUCAGCACAGGACCUGACAAACUAGCCUACACUGUCUCAAAGGUCAUGGCCAUGGGAGCACGUGCAUACCUACAACAUGGAACCACACCACUCUCGGCACUUCCAGCCAUCACCUUACAUCCGGCUGGUUGGACAGCCAGUCUUAUUUAUUUUUCCACUUGAAAUGCCAUAAGGGGUUUCACUAUUUUUACUUCAAAAGCAGCACCAUAAAAAUCCUUGAUGAUUAGAGCUCCAGCUGUCUUAAGUUGUUUGUCAAGGGAUCGGUUACUCAAAUCUCCUAUGGAGGGAAACAAUUUCAGGCAAGAAGCCAUGGGAGCUGAGAAACGCAAAUGUCUCAUCUCUGAAAACUUUCAGACUCCCUCCUGUUCACCGCCUGUCCUGCCCCCUGCUCCCCCUCCCCCAUCCCCACCAUCUGCUCUCCAGAAAGCAGAUCAAAUUUUCAGGCUAAGGUACUCUGGCGCCAAAGACUCAGCCCCUCCAUGCUUCCCCCUGCCCCCCACCAACUCCGAAAUCCAACACCACGACCCAAAUGGACUGCAGCCACAUAAAACCACAAAGUAAAGUUUAUAAAGCUUUAUUAAACAUUUCAAACAGCUGUGCAACGAACACACCAAAUAAAAGCUCUAGAAUAGCAGUCCAGACGUUUCACAAGUAUGGCCUCACAGUCCCAUUCCCUAGAUGGACUGCCUCCAGUUCUGUUCUCUGCCUGGCCC
rnacentral:lncRNA from 10 species